CUUGAUAAAAGAUUUUGACAUGAAUAGAAUUUCCUAAUAUAAUGAGUGUUUUGGAGCCAUCGCAGAACUUCUUAAACCGAGCUACUCAUGAACAUUAUAAAUGAAAGCUAAAAAUACCAGUUAAGUUAAAAAUUUGUAUCUUUGGCGUCCAAUUGGGCACUUACACUUUAACGUAUAUGGUAUAGAUACAGAACUUCUGACCUAUAUGAUAACAGGAACAAAAAAAGGAUAAUAAUUUUAGUUUACGAAAAGAGAUUAUCGUCUAUAGGAAAUAGUAAAACUAUAAAUCUAUGUAAAUGAAUGGCUAACAUUAGCACAAUAGCUAUAACACAUUGCGAGUAUUAGAUAGAUUUUGUGAACCGGUUUGUUGAUAAGUCGUAUUUCGGCAUUAUGUGUGUGUUAUUUUUUUUCUUACUUGUUUAUUUCCAUAAUAAAAAAAAAUUCCCCGGGAAAUUAGUAAGGGACCCCUGGCGAUCCCUGGAGAAUUGGUGGGGCUGGGCUGUCCGGGUUUGUUUAAUACUGUGUUUAAUAAUGAUAAAUUCUUUUGAAAAAUUUUUUUUAAUUGCAAUAUAAGUAUUUUUUUGUCAGGUUAUCACAAGUACUUGAAAAAUCGUGAAAAGAAUUAUAUGGAACACCCUGUAUGUAUAUUCGAUUCGUUGAAAAAGUGUUACUAUUGUAGAAUUUGACAAGGCUCUUUCUCAAAGUAUCGGUGACAAAUGUUUGUUCAGUGAUAUUUGCAUCUGAAUGACUCGUUCUCGGUAAGACUUUUAUCUUCGCUUAAUAGAAAAGAAAGGUUAUAUGGAUAAAAAAAAAAAAAACAUACCACAGAGUUUAUAUUAAUCAAUGAUAUGGAAUGGUCUAACUUUUGGAUAUUUUCAUUCUCGAUGAAAUAUUAAAUUUUGUGAAACCCAAAAUUGUCAAUAUACGAGGAUUCAGUAUUUUAAAUUCAGUAUAAUAACCUGCAAGGUGAUCACCUGCGUUUUAUAUCACAAGAGAGAGAGAGAGAGAGAGAGAGAGGGAGAGAGAGAGAGAAUUAAUUCUGUACAUAGUUGUUCGUAUAAUUAUUCAUAUUUACUUUCUUAAAUAGUCAUGUUGUGCAAUGUACUUGCUACAUGAUCGUAAAAAAAGGAAAAAAAAAUAUUCGCUAGAAGAAAUGUGAAAGAAAUAUUAAAGAUAAGUAGGAUAUUAUAUAGGAUAGUAUAUAUAGAUAAAAUAAAGAAAAUACUCUCGAGAAGAUUGGCAUGAAAUAUCCAUUGGCACUUGUCAAACGAUGAACUUGUGAAAUGUUUCCGUAUAAUAAAUAAUCCGUAUUUUUUUGCACACUCCUUUUCUUGACCAUUUUUAUCCGAGGACAUUUGGAGGUAUUAAAUAAACCAUAAAUCUUAAGGUCCCGCGUCACCCAAAGUCCAUUUGGACUUAUCAGGACAACUCGUUUGUCCCCGAGUACUUCCGUACGGAAGUGUCGGCCGAUUCGCAGGUGGGGCAUUAGCUCUUCUGAUGAGUAUAAAGACAGAAAUCAUCGGCGUAUUUUUGUUAGUCGGUUUUCAGUCGGUCUUUUCAAGUCUGAAACAUUAUUUUCUAUUAAAAGUUCAAUUAGUAGACUCGUCGAAAUACAGUAUGAACGAUCCGUCAUGUAUAAUAAUUAUUACAUUAGCAAUCAUUUUAUCGACAAGUUUGUCGUUUGCUUGGCCGUAUGGACGUCGAGAUGUCUCUGACAAUUCGGUGGAUAGUUUAGAUGGACUUGUAUCAUCUCAUUUGCAACAUCUUGGGGAUGCAGUAUAUGGUUUGCCAAGUAACGAGACAGGUUUUAAAGUGGCUAACUGGCACGAAGGAAUGUCUGUUAAUCCUGAAGAAUUGGGUAAUUACGCUGAAGGAGAUAUCCUUUUUCCACUUGGAAUGAGUAGAAACGGUUUGAAAGGAAAUACUGCUAGAUGGCCCAAUGGUACCAUUCCUUACAUGAUCAGUCCUUAUUUUGAUGAUAGACAACUUAAACUCAUUUAUCAGGCUAUGGAGGAAUAUCACAAAUAUACAUGUAUUAAGUUUAAGCAAUAUACCGGGGAGGAGAAUGAUUACAUUAGAAUUACAGCAGGUACUACCGGUUGCUGGAGUAGCGUAGGUAGAAUAGGUGGGCGGCAAGAUGUGAAUCUUCAGGUACCAGGAUGUGUUACCAAAAAGGGUACCGUGAUUCAUGAAUUGAUGCACGCUAUUGGCUUUUUUCAUGAACAAAGUAGAUACGAACGAGAUGAAUACGUUACUAUUAUAUGGAAAAACGUCAUUAAUGGCCACGAAAAUAAUUUCGAAAAGGCACCGAGAGAAAUCACUGAUGACUUUGGUGUUGGCUAUGACUAUGGCAGCGUGAUGCAUUACUCUGCCUAUGCAUUUUCCAAAAAUGGAAAAGCAACUAUAACACCAAAAGUACCAGGUGGUCUUUUGGGUCUUAUCGGAGAAAUCUUUCAGGGCAAAACCGAGGUUGAGCUUGGACAACGAGAGGGACUCAGUAAACGAGACAUUCAAAAGAUACGUAGAAUGUAUCACUGCAAUAAACGCAGGCGUAGUCAUAACUGAUAUUUCAAGCAUCUUUUAUUUCACGAAAUAUUAUAAUUGUAUGAUUUCUAAAAUGAUCUAAUCAAUUGAGUAUCGUCAUGUAAUUGGAUCAUUGAUCUCAGAAGUGUUACAUCAUCGAAACGGACCGACGACGAAUACAGAGAAGAAAAAACAGAAGAGGAUAAUUGUGCAAUAAACUUUC
rnacentral:misc_RNA from 1 species